GGGCCCAUAGUUUAAUGGUUAGAACAGUUUGCUCAUAACGAAUUUGUGUAGGUUCAAUUCCUGCUGGGCCUA
rnacentral:tRNA from 1 species